rnacentral:sRNA from 1 species
CGCUUACUCAUUGGGGAGUAGUCUCUUCUUUAAGAAGGUUUACGUCAACAUACUUGGCAACACUUGCUAUGGCGUAAACGAUUAGUGAUAGCUAAUU